CUUUGUUGAGUAUAUAUAAACUUUUUUGGCUUCUUUGGGUCUUGAAUAAGCUAGUAGCUAAAUUUCACUUUCUGAUAAUGUUGCUAAAUAUCAGUUUUAAUUUGUUUUGUAAGGAUAUUGGAAUCAUUUUUUUCAGUAAUCAUUGUCAUGGAGUAUGUUAAUAAUUAAUCGAAUAUAUUACACUAAAGGGUUUGUUUUCUUUAAUUAAGUGUUCUAAAAAUCUCCGCCUAGCGCCUAGGCGCUAGACCCCCUUGGCUCCUCACCUAGGCCCAAGGCAGCAAUAAAAUCACUCCAGGAAAUUAGGCGGGAUUAGGCGGGGUGUAGGCAGAGAAAUUUUUUUAUUUUAAUAACUACUUAAACUAGAUCUUGAUAUAUUUAUUUUUCUAAUGAUUUACAUAUCAAAUCACAACAAGAAGUGAACACUAUCAAGUCAAAAUGAUCUAUUUUUCUAAUGAUUUACAUAUCAAAUCACAACAAGAAGUGAACAAUAUCA
rnacentral:lncRNA from 1 species